GUCCCAGGGUGCGUAGCGCCUAGCCUAAGAAUCUGCUGGGGCUGGAGCUCUGGGAGGGCGGGGACUGGAGCGGGACCCCUAGAUGGCGAGUCCGAAUCCCCUCUAACCCGAGAAGCCCGUGGGGCUGGGGCGGAUCUUGGCCUUGGGAUUCCAACGCGGCCUUCAAUACCCCUCGCGUGGUUUCUACCUUUCCCCCCUCCCCACCCUGUUUCCCGCGGGUUCUCAAGGUCCGGGAGAUCCCCUCAUCCAGCCCCCACAUUUGACAGAUGAGGAAACUGAGUCCCGGAGGGGCGGCUAAGGCCCCACGGGGAGAGACGUAGGGUCGGAAUGUGGCCCCGGAUUCCAUGACUCGCCCUUAUGCUGACCGGCUCUCGGAGAUCCUGAAGGAGGCCUCCGUCCUGGUCCCCAGAUUGAGAUGGAGGCCACGCUGCCCGCGGUGCUGGAGGCGGUGCUGGGCGAGAUCGCGAGCACGCGCGGCGAAGCGGCUCCAGUACCCGAUGAACUUCUGUUGGCGCUGAAAUUUAUAUUUGGUCCAUCCGCCGUCCAGGCCUUGGAUCUUGUCGAUCGACGUUCUGUCACCCGCAUCUCCUCUCCUAGUGGAAGAACCGUGUAUCAGGUGCUCGGCAGCUCCGGGAAGGUGUACGUGUGUUUCGCCUCUUGCCACUACUGCUCGUGCCCGGCCUUCGAGUUCUCUGUGCUUCGGAAGAGUGACAGCCUGCUGUGCAAGCACCUCCUGGCCACCUACCUCAGCCUGACCAUGGGGCUGUGCCAGGACCUGCAUGUUUCUAACGAGCAGCUGUCUGGCAUCCUGUUAGCAGAAGAGGAUCAGGAGCAGGCCUAGCAGGCACCCCUGAUGCCUCUCUGCACAUCGCCUGGCGAGGGGCUAUUUCCCUCUUCUCUUCACCUGAAGCAGCGAUGCUGGACUGAAGGACUAAGUAACUCUGGAAGGCAGUAGUGGAUAGAGAACUGGCCUCAGCGCCAAGAAAGCCUGGGUUCACUGCCACAUCCUGGCCAUGUGAUUCUGGGAAAGGAAUGUCACCUGAAGGCCCCAGGCAAGUCUAUAAAGACUACUUGUUUCAGAAGGGCUGAUCUGCAUUGAUUGGGGUUUCCUGAAAUGUUGGGAGCUGCUUACACCAUGGAAACCACAGAUCUGAUCCCUUCCGUGGUAGUCCCUUCGCCACUGGUCCGCAAGCAAAACAACAAAAAACCCCAAAGGGGACAGUGGACUGAGGGCCAGGUACAGUGCUCUAAGAAAUCCAGGAAGGACUGAGCCUCUUUCAGGUAAGGGAGAAUCCUAGUCAAGGUGGCAUCUUUGAAAGAAAUGAGGAAUUUCAUUAGAAAGAAAUUGGAAUGGGAGAUGCCUACUAUUGGUAUGGGAGAGAACCUGAACAGAGGCCCAGAGGAACAGGCCUGGGGCACAGAGACACCCAGCCAGUGGGCCCACCUGUAUGUGCAGCUGUGAAGGCCACUGGUGGGAUCUUUCCUGGUAACAAAUGGACAGUUUCAGACCUGGGCCUGAGGUUUCUCGAGGUGAGGAAAGUUGGACAACAUCCCACUAGUCCAGUUCCCCUCCCCAGGAAAGUGAGAAAGCCAGAGACAGUUCUGGAUGUAGUUUACUACCUUAAGUUUCUUAUCCAAAAAAAAGCUUUAUUUUUAAUUCACUUAAAUUAUCUUCAGCUUUGAGCUAAUACUACAGCUGUACACACACUGUAAAUGAGGUUAAAAUCUCACAGUUGGAGCUCAGCCAUUUCUUUGCUCCAUCUUUUAGGUCUGCUCAACUCUGUUGGAGUGGGGAGGACCAGAAACAGAGGGCAGCUGUUUCAGCCUCCUCUUCCCCUCCAAGUGGGCAAGCCCCAAAAGAGGAAAAAGGAAUCUAACCCAGGAAGGAGGUACUCCUUUUCCUCCAUCGUUCAUUGGGUCUCUCUAAGAGAGGGGAGAAAAGCCGCCAUCUCCAGUAUGAAAAGCACAGUGUCACCAGAUAGCAAGCUGGAAGGAGACUUCUGUCCCUAGCCCAUCUGUUGCCAAGGCCUCUUCUCCCCUCAUGCCUGUACGCAGUGUUCUUCUGGCCCCUUCUGGGGGAGCAGGUUCCCAUCUGUCAGAAGAGCCAAGGUGGUGCGUUUCCCCAUUGCUUCCAGGUUAGGAAAACAUCACUGCCGAGUGUGGGGGUUCACAGUAACAGUGGCUGAAAUCCUUUCCUGUUAAGAGAGUAGUACUCAGCACGUCCAGAACGGCGGGGCGGAGGUCAGGGAGGCUGUUAAGAAAAAUGGCGUCCUCGGCCAACAGCUUCUCAACCUCUCUUUGGCGUCCCUGGCCUCGUCAUCCAGUCCGCACGGGGCUAGCAGCAGGACCAAAUACCACAAAAGUCUGUUGCCAUUUGUUGGCCCUCAGAGGCAAUAAUCUAUUUACGUAGAUCCAGAGUAAGACCAGGAAGGUGCUCAGAACAGGCAGCCUAGACAUGCGUCACCACUGAGAGUCAGCCAGGCUUUCUCAUCACUGGGCCUGUCGUGGGUCUCGUGGCCUCUCGGUGGCAGGGGUCAUACAUCCGCAUCGAGGGUCUGCACCGUCCCCGACUGUCCGUUGCCACUCUUGGGGAGGUCAUCUGUCUGACAGAGGAUGUACCUCGAGAUGAUCUUGCGGAACGUGCAGCGAAAGUCCCUUAUCCGGUAGGCGUAGAUAAUGGGAUUGAUGACGGAGUUGGUGUGCGACAAGAGGAUGACUGUGUGCAUGAGCGCCUUGGGCUUACUCUUGGCAAAGUGGGGAUUGAAGAGCGUGAUGCAGUUCGUGGCGUGCAGGGGCAGCCAGCACAGAGCGAAGAUGCCCACGAUCAUGGCCAGCGACUUGGCCGCAUGGAUCUCCCGCUGCAGUGUGGUCCGUGAGUGGUCCAUCAGCUCCAUGCGACGCAGCUGCUGGCAGGCCACCAGGAAGAUCUUGACGUAGAUGGCCAGCAUGAUGAGCAGCGGGGGCAGGACGCAGCCAAAGAAGUUAAAGUAGACCAUGUAGGACAUGGUGACCACGUUCUCAAAGAGACAUUUCACAGGACAGCAGCUCAGGUUCGUGGGUCUACCAGUGCAAUUGUGGGUGGCAUUGGCCCUGUCGUUCCAUCCCAUGAGAGGAGUCAGGCCAAUGCCAAAAGCGAGAAUCCAGAGCACAGCAAUGACUCCUCUUGCCCGGGUCCCGGUAACUAAACUCUUGUACCUGUUACCAAAAAAAAAAAAAUCCAUUAUACUUAGUUUCUAAUAAUCAGAAUACCAUUAUACCCCCUUUUUUUUUGAGGGGGGUGGGGAAGGUUUAUCUUUGCUUUUUAACAGAAAAUAAUCUUCACCACUGGCCCUCCUGGUAAUGCAGGGGAUAGAGUGCUGGGUCUGGAAUCAGGAAAACCUGAAUUCACAUGCCAGCCUCAG